UAUGGUAUGAAUUCAGUGUGACCAGCCCCUGGACAAGGGCUUGAGUGGAUGGGAUGGAUCAUCACCUACACUGGGAACCCAACAUAUACCAACGGCUUCACAGGACGGUUUCUAUUCUCCAUGGACACCUCUGUCAGCAUGGCGUAUCUGCAGAUCAGCAGCCUAAAGGCUGAGGACACGGCCGUGUAUGACUGUAUGAGAGA